rnacentral:sRNA from 1 species
GCUUUUUACCUAGUAUCACAAGGUACUAAGGAAUUCUGACCUACGCCAAGCUGUUGCGUCAAAAAUCCUAAUUUUUGUAUCACCUUCUCGGGGUAUCCGGGAGGGCAGA